rnacentral:rRNA from 1 species
AUUGAACGCUGGCGGAAUGCUUUACACAUGCAAGUCGAACGGCAGCACGGGGGCAGCCCUGGUGGCGAGUGGCGAACGGGUGAGUAAUACAUCGGAACGUGCCCGGUCGUGGGGGAUAACGUAGCGAAAGUUACGCUAAUACCGCAUACGAUCUGAGGAUGAAAGCGGGGGACCUUCGGGCCUCGCGCGAUCGGAGCGGCCGAUGUCAGAUUAGGUAGUUGGUGGGGUAAAGGCCUACCAAGCCGACGAUCCGUAGCUGGUCUGAGAGGACGACCAGCCACACUGGGACUGAGACACGGCCCAGACUCCUACGGGAGGCAGCAGUGGGGAAUUUUGGACAAAGGGCGCAAGCCUGAUCCAGCCAUUCCGCGUGCAGGACGAAGGCCUUCGGGUUGUAAACUGCUUUUGUACGGAACGAAAAGGCUCUGGCUAAUACCUGGGGCUCAUGACGGUACCGUAAGAAUAAGCACCGGCUAACUACGUG